AAAAACAUCGCUCUCCGGCUUAUAAAUAUAGAGAGUCGAGCCUGCCCAGUGAUUUAAUUUAACGGCCGCGGUACUCUGACCGUGCAAAGGUAGCAUAAUCAUUUGCCCUAUAAUUGAGGGCUAGUAUGAAUGGUUUGACGAAAGUGAUUCUGUCUCUAAAAAAUUUUAUAGAAUUUGGUUAUUAGGUGAAGAAACCUAAAUAAUAUUGAUAGACAAGAAGACCCUAUCGAGCUUAAAAAACAUUUGUUGAAUAAAUACAAAAAUCAUCUCAAUAAAAAAUUUUGGUUGGGGCGACUAAGGAACAAACAAAGCUUCCUUUAAAAAUAAAAACUGAUAAGUAUUGAUCCAAAAAAAAUUGAUUAAUAAAAUUAGUUACCGUAGGGAUAACAGCAUAAUCUUUUUUGAGAGUUCUUAUCGAAAAAAAGGUUUGUGACCUCGAUGUUGGACUAGGAUAUCCUGAAAGAUGCAGAAGUCUUCAAAGGUUGGUCUGUUCGACCAAUAAAAUCCUACGUGAU
rnacentral:rRNA from 1 species